rnacentral:tRNA from 1 species
GAAAAAGGGCCGGACUGGCAAUAAAAGCUGCUACUUUUUAAUACUUUGGUUUGACUCCAGGGCUUUUUCU